GAGUAACACGUGGGAACGUACCCUUUGGUUCGGGACAACUCUGGGAAACUAGAGCUAAUACCGGAUAAGUGCGAGAGCAGAAAGAUUUAUCGCCGAAGGAUCGGCCCGCGUCUGAUUAGCUAGUUGGUGAGGUAACGGCUCACCAAGGCGACGAUCAGUAGCUGGUCUGAGAGGAUGACCAGCCACAUUGGGACUGAGACACGGCCCAA
rnacentral:rRNA from 1 species